GCUGCGCGGGGCCGCAGCUCGGGGGCUGGACUGGGCGGCCUGACCCAUGCGCCCCCCGACCUCGGCCGGGCCCUCCAGUCCGACGUGCGCCUUGAUUCUGGGUCUUGUUAAAUACUCAUUAGGACCUUGCGCCUUUCUCCAGCAGGCCCGCUCGGCGACAGCGAGGCGGGAGUCAAACACUCCCUGGCGGCCGGCCGAGACCCGCGCCGGGGAGCGCCCAGCUGUAACGUGGACGCCCAUGGGCGCCAGGCCAGGGCCCUCUCCUGCCUCGCCAAGUCCGGGUCCACGUGGGGACGCCCCUAGUGCCUCCCGGCCGAGAGUGAGGACCAGGGAGCGCCCUGAGAGCACACGACUGCGUGGCCCCCGCAGCGAGAUGGGCGCGCCUUGGCGGAAGGAGCCGCGUUGAGCCUGCCGAGGGAGAAGGCACGGAGAGACUCCAGGAAAACCCGGGGAGGAAAAGGCCAGGAGCGAGGGAGGCGGGCGGUCAGAUGCUCAGGGCAGUGCCCUCAUGGCGGACAAUGCAAAGCGAGUGCCCCGGACGGAGGGCGGGCUUGGCUUCCCGGAACGCGGCCUGGGGGCGAAGUGCGGGGCCGCCCAGAGCUUUCCUAACCGGCCUGAGUUUCCCAAGAUCGAGGGGUCGAGAAAUAGACCGCAGUGACCCGGCGUGGAGUGCAGCGAUGUGGCCAUCCGUUUCCCCGGGGUCGGAGGAAGUGAAUUACAUGCGUGUGCACACACGUAAAUAUUUUAUAAACCUCCCUUAAUUAACCAGAUCAUUUCCAUUAUGCCUCCAAUAUGAUCAACAGCAACGUUGUGAGGGUUUUCAGGGUUUAUAAUUUGAUGUCACUAGACGGUUGCUCGGGGGCAGAGGUACAAUCGCCGCGCCAGCUGCACUUGUACUUAUUUGUUUUUCUACCGUGUUCCUGUAGGGUUCCAUUAUGCAAUUUUUAAUUAGUUUGUGUUUGUAUUUCACCCGUCCCAAAUCAACCCCAUCCCGGAGCAAGGCGAUGUAAAUUCUCGCAGUACAGGUGUCGCUGCCUGCUCCGGAACACUGGGAAACUCGUGUCUGACAAAUGAAAGCCGGGCGCCACGCAGCUGACUGUCAGCUCUCCGCAGCCGAGAGGCGCAGAUCAAAGCCAGCGGGGACUCCUGCGCCCCCUGAGCGCUGUCGGGGCGGAGGCUCCUAAUGCCAUUAGAGGGAGCCGGCCGAGCGCGGCGCGGGGGGACAAAGUGAGUUUUUAUUUUUCUCAAGUCCUGUGGUCCUUGGACCAGUGCUUGCCUCCCCAGCGCCUUGGGCUUGGGGCCUAGUGGACUCGGGGUGACACUGCGCGAGCCUCAGCCCUGACGCCUGGCUGUGCACCCGUGGGUGCCCAGAACCUAGGGUCUGAGAAAGAUCAUUGGGACUUCCUGCCGGGUUCCGCAAAGUCUUUCAAUAGAACCCAGAGCAGACAGCCAGAACUUCUGGAAUCUCCAGACAGGAGAACCCUCCCAGCCCCACUCCCCGCUCCCGCCCACCCCUGUGUUGUGUUGGCUGCCUCUUCCUUCUUGAAAUGACCUCUGUGGAGUGCCUGUAAAUCUAUCCUUCCAGCCACCAAGGAAUUCUUUUAAAGCUUUCCUCUUUUGUCAGGAAUAAGAGAGUGUUCAUUUUCAACUAGACCACAUAGAAAUUAUGAUUCAACAGCAGUGUGUAUUUAAUUAGAGCAAUCUCACUUGAAUUUAAUUACCUAAUGAAUUAUUUGUUUAGAAGGUAGAAUGUCUUGUUUGCAGAGUACAGUGUAGACCUCUGAUAAGAACUUCUGUUAUAAGGACAUUAUGGUUGAAAAGCAGUCCCGUAUUAAGGUUUACAUUUUAACUCUUUGUGUCGGUAACUGUUACUGUACUAAUCAAACAGAAACCCCGUGCUCAUCUGAAGGAUGUUGGAGGGCGCCCGCAUCAUUCUAGCCAGGCAGAGUAACAGGUCUUUUUUUGCUAGUGUGAGAUGACAGCUGUCUAUUAGAGGACUCAUUUUAUGAUUUGUAUUUGCAAUGAAGUGGCACAUCCUUCAGGAACACUCCAGCCCAGCCCCUCCGGGGCCCUGAGGCAUCCACACCAGCAGCAGGACGACUUUCCCAGGAAGAUUUAGACUCUUAUCAGAAGAGACGGGAUUUUGUAGAGCAGUGCCCAUGUGUAAAUCUAUCUGUCCAUGCAUGGAGAUCUCUGUCAUGGCACAGGACAAGAACCUCGACUUUCCAGACUGCAGUGCUCAGGCUGGCGGACUAAAAAGACACCUUCUGAGAACUGGCGUCCAUGCCGUCUGAAUCACAAUGGCUCAAAUUAAGAGGAUGAAACUGCCAGAUCCUGACGUCGUUUAAUUAAAGCUACCCUCAUUAGGGACACGAGAGGAAAGUGGAGCCCUUUUAAAGCGACUUCAAUGAUGGCUGCCAAGUAGAGAUUUAUCCUGACUUUUCUAAGUUAAUCACACUCUGGGUUUCUCGAGCCGCUUUCAUCCAGGAUUCUGCACUUGAGUUACUUGCAACCUCCCCCUGAGUCAGGUGCUAUCGACUGUGCUAGAGCAAAGAAGGAGGCAAAGCCUGGGGGACAGAACUCUGUAUUGAAAGGGCACACGUCGGGGUAGAUUUUGAUACAGGAACUAAGUCCGGAGGGGAAGUGCUCUGCUACCUUCUGCAAGCCAAAGGCAGCGCUGGAUCUGGUGGUGGUGAUCCUGCUGGUAACCACCCUCCUCCCACCUCUCAGCUCCGCCUUUGCUCAUGCCCUGUUGUCAGGAGGGCCCUGAACAUGUGUGGCCCAGAGACCUGGCCUCUCUGUGCUUUCAAUGGACCAGUGUCCCAGCUGGAGAAGUGAGAGCGUUCUCCUAUCACAUUGGCAACAGACAACCUACCUCCAUCAGCCGCCUCUCCACCACCGGGGACCCGGCACAGAGACUGGUGCUGAGUCAGUGCGAUUGUCAAACGAAAGGUGAAUGGAAGGGCCUUCUUGCCCCUGCACUGGGAGGCUGCAGCCCAUCUCCUUAUGCCAGACUCUUACCCUUUUGUCAGCUUCUUUAGUGGUCAAGAGAGUGUCUCCAACUGCUCCAGUGGAAUUAAUUCCCCUUCAGGGACCCUUCAUUAAAUACUAAGAUCUCUGUUGCAAUGUUGAUGAUAGUCUACUUUCCAGCUAGCUAUUUGCAGAAGUGUGAAUGUAUCAGUUUGGGUUCGUUCAACUGUAAACAAAAUAAUAUCUGACUAGUCCUGGCUUAAGCAAUAAAAUCUCUGACUAGUCCUGGCUUAAGCAGAAAAGUUGCUCUGUUGUCCCACAUAAGAAGCUGGAGGGGUGCAGUUCACAGUUUGGGGCAGCAGCUCCCUCGUAUCCACAAUGCCCAGGCUCUGUCUUUUUUCCUGCUCUGAUAGGCAUAGCUUGUUGAUGUUGUCUCAUGGCUUCAAUAAGGCUGCCACAGCUCCAAGCGUCACAUCCCUACACAGACACAUUAAAAUAGGGAGAAAGGUAGGCAGAAGAAAAGGGAUUUACUCAUAUCUGAAAGAAUGACUAUUCUCAGGAGGCCCCCAGCAGAGCUGUUCGUAUGUCCCAAGGGCAGAACUAGGUCGAUGGUCAUGCCAGGUGCAAAUUAAGUUGGGGCAUUGAACAAUUUGGCAAAGGAAAUGGGUUGUCCUGAGCAACUUGGUGUUCCCAGCCUUGGCCCAGGCUGCGCACAUUCCUGCCUGUGGUGGUCCGUAGGUCUGCUCACACAUUCUCAACCUGUCCUUCCAGGCAGAUGGUGGGUGGCUCUUCCUCACUCGCUUGAGCCUGGAUGUGGCUGUGGGACUUCGGGAGCAGUGGCCCGUGAGCAGAGGAACACAUAUCACUCCCUAGAGCAGCUUUAAGGGCUGGUGCUUGAUCCAGAUGCUGAGAUGAAGCCUCCACCGACCUGGGGACCUCAGUGAGGAAGGAGAGUGGAGGCCCCGUGUCCUCUUGAUGGGCAUGUUGUACAAACGAGAAAGAAACCUCUGCUGUGAGAGGUCACU
ensembl:lncRNA